rnacentral:rRNA from 1 species
GACAGAGGCCCCAAGCGUUAGUCGGAAUCACUGGGCUUAAAGCGUGUGUAGGCGGAUCGUUAAGUGUCUUGUGAAAUCCCACGGCUCACCCGUGGAACUGCUGGGCAUACUGGCGAUCUUGGGCCAACUAGGGGCAGCCGGAACAAGCGGUGGAGCGGUGAAAUGCGUAGAUAUCGCUUGGAACGCCGAAGGUGAAAACAGGCUGCUGGGGUUGUGCCGACGCUGAGACACGAAAGCCAGGGGAGCAAACGGG